GUCCUCCCCCUUCACCCUUCUGUGUAGCUGGGACAACAGAUCCCAAGGACACUCACAUCAUCAUCAGCUGGAUGAUUGCACAGACUGCCACUGCCAUUGCUGGGUUGACUUCCUAUCCAUUUGACACUGUUCGCUGCCACAGGAUGAUGCACAAAGGAACUGAUACGUACACAGGCAUGCUCGACUGCUGGAGGAAGACUGCCUGUGAUGAAAGAGGCAAAGAUUUCUUCAUGGUCCAAUGUUCUUAGAGGCAUGGGUGGUGCUUUUGUGCUUGUCUUGUGUGAUGAAAUCAAGAAGUACACCUAAGUUAUUUCCUAGAAAUUCCCCCUCUGUGAACACGCAUGUUGUAUUAUAUAGCGUAUCUUGAGCAUUCUUGACAGACUCCUGGCUGUCAAUUUAUCAGUGGCAACUAUUUACUGGUUGAAAAUGGGAAGCAAUAAUAUUCAUCUGACCAGUUUUCUCAUAAAGCCAUUUCCAUGAUGAUGAU